GGCCAGCGGAAGGCGGCAAGAGGAGCAGCAAGGCUCCACGCGAGGCGGCCGGCGGCUGGAGUCCCAGUCAGCCUCCGCUUUCAUCCCAGAGCAGUCCACGGGGGCCUUAAAGGAAUGUAGGCUGGGUGAAGUUGGCCCAGUGACACCUGCGUUCAGAAAAACGUUCUUUCCGCUCCCAACGCCCCCUCUCCACCGCCACCCGACCCCCGAAAUAGUUUUCCCCGAGUGUUGUGGAUAGAACUGUUGAUCUCUUGGAAAAGUUAUUGUAUCCUGCCAUCCUUCCCUCUGGAGACUCCACUUAAUAUAUAUAAAGUUUCAGGAAAAUCAACCUUUAAAAGGAGUGAAAUUCUGACAUUUGCUGCCACAUGGAUGAAUCUUGAUGAUGAUAUGCUGAGUGAUAUAUAAUCAGUCACGGAAGGACAAAUACUGCAUGAUUCAAUUUAUAUCAGCAGGCCCUGACAUUGUAUAAGCUUCAGGCCCCACAAAACCUGGAUCUGCCCUGCCAGGAUCAGCAUCUAGAGGAAAACUACUACUUCCACAAUAGCACAACCAAUCUGAUCAUCCCUGCAUCAGUGAGCAUUCUCCAGAGAAACAGAGCCAACAGGAUAUGUGUAUAUAUGUGAAGAAAGACUUAUUUUAAGGAGUUGGCUCAUGCAAUUAUGGAGGUGCAAGUCCAAAAUCUGUAGGGCAGGCAGAUGGGCAGACUGGAGACCCAGAGAAGAGUUGCAGUUCAAGUCCAAAGUCGGUUGGAAGAAUUCCCUCUUGCUGGGUAACACUGGGGAAGCAGGAGUAGAUGGAAAGGGGAGGUGUCAGGCUUUGCUCUACCAAGGACUUCAACUGAUUGGAUGAGGCCCAGUAACAUUAUGGAGGGAAACCUGCUUUGCUCAGAGUUUACUGAUUUAAAUAUUAAUCUCAUCCACAAAAAAAUAAAUAACCUUCACAGAAA
rnacentral:lncRNA from 1 species